rnacentral:rRNA from 1 species
ACGGGGGGUGCAAGCGUUAUUCGGAUUUACUGGGCGUAAAGCGCGCGCAGGCGGUUUUGUAAGUCAGAUGUGAAAGCCCGGGGCUCAACCCCGGAAGUGCACCUGAUACUGCAAGACUUGAGUAUGGGAGAGGGAAGUGGAAUUCCUGGUGUAGAGGUGAAAUUCGUAGAUAUCAGGAGGAACAUCGGUGGCGAAGGCGACUUCCUGGACCAAUACUGACGCUGAGGCGCGAAGGCGUGGGGAGCAAACAGGAUUAGAUACCCUGGUAGUCCACGCAGUAAACGGUGAUCACUAGGUGUAGCGGGUAUUGACCCCUGCUGUGCCGCAGCUAACGCAUUAAGUGAUCCGCCUGGGGAGUACGAUCGCAAGAUUA